rnacentral:rRNA from 1 species
UACAGAGGUCUCAAGCGUUGUUCGGAUUCAUUGGGCGUAAAGGGUGCGUAGGUGGCGGGGUUAGUCAGGUGUGAAAUCUCGGGGCUCAACCCCGAAACUGCACUUGAUACUGCCUUGCUAGAGUACUGGAGAGGAGAUUGGAAUUUACGGUGUAGCAGUGAAAUGCGUAGAUAUCGUAAGGAAGACCAGUGGCGAAGGCGAAUCUCUGGACAGUUACUGACACUGAGGCACGAAGGUCAGGGGAGCAAACGGG